UUUUUUUUUUUUUUUUGCCACAGCAAUGGCUAUUUAAGUCAGUUCUGGCUUCUAUAACAACAUACCAUAAAGUGAGUGGCUUAUAAACCAUAGAAAUGUAAUGCGGCUCUGGAGGCUGGAAGUCUGAGAGCAGGGUGACUGCUGAGAAGCAGAGCUUCUGCUGAGAGCCCUAAUCCAGGUUGCAAGUUACCACCUGUCAUUGUCCUCAUAUGGUGGAAUAACAGAAUGGAAGCAAGCUCUCUCCUGACUCUUACAAGGGCACUAACCCCAUUGUGAGGCCCCACUCACAAUGACCUCAUCUAUCCCUAAUCACCUCCCAAAGGCCCACCUCCUAACACCACUGCAUUAGAGGUCAGGAUUUCAAUGUAUGAAUUUGGCCAAGGUGGGGGGACACAAACACCAGCCCAUACAAUGUCCCUGUGAGGUUGCCUCUGAUUGAUUUCAUCCCUCCACCAAAGAUCGUGGUUCCUGCAGGUGGCUCCCUCCACAUGGCUCUCCCUUUGAGUUCCAGAUACCUUCACUUGUCCUUUCAGGCCCAAUUGGAUAGAAAGGCUUCCCAGGCACAGCACUAUUCCUCGCUAGCUCCCCUAAAUCCUGCCCAUGCCUGGCAAAUAGUCUCUUUAUUAAACUCACUCCAAGCCACUUUAUUUGACUGUGCCAUCCAUUCCUGCCAGAACACUGAGCAAUGUGUAGGAUAAACAAGAAAGACUUGGUCCCCACUUUCAGGGAGCUUAGGUAUGUUGAAGAAGAUGGGAGAUAUUUUGGAUAGAGGCAAUGCAGCUUGGCAUAGAUUAAGAGUCUCUGGGGUUUUGAGAAUGGUGGGACCUCCAGUGCAGACAGCACAGGGUAUGGGGGUGAGAAUAGCAGCAGAAGAGGCAGAGAAGGGUUCUCAGCAAGGCACUCACUGGGCACCCACAUUGUGAGAAGCACAAAGCUACAUGCUGGGUGAACCCCAAGAUAAGCAAGGCCUGGUCCCUGCCUACAAGGACUGACUGUAGAAAUAACAGAAUAUCCUUCAUAAAAUAAGAAUUCCUUCAGAUUGAAUAAGAAAGAAAACCAUUACUUAUUUACUCAAUAAUGCAUAGGUAUUGAACAUCAGCUACCAGGUGUCAGCCCUGCCAACAUGUCAGAAAUCAGACCUGUUGGAAUGAAACACUGGACUUGGAAGCUUUGAUGGUGGAAAGCCAGGGCAGGAAUAAGUCAGGGUCACAAUGUCAUCAAAAACAAAAACAAAAACAAAACAACAAUAAAACAGUGGGUGCAUGAAUAGCUGUUGUUUAUCUACCAUUCAUCCCUUUCCUUCUUCUGGUUAUAUCCUCCUUUCCUAUUUGAAUAAAUUCUGUGAACGCUGAACCCCAUUUCCAUGAAAUCCUGAAAGGGAUAGAUGGGUGACCUGGGCUCGUCUAAUCAGAAGAC
rnacentral:lncRNA from 1 species